CCCAGGCCGCGCGAUCCAGCUCGGCCCAGCCCUGUUUCGUCUCUGUUCCGCACCGACCAGCCCAUCUCCGACCACCUCCGGCCACCGCCAACCUCGCCGGACCACCCCCGCGACUCCCUCGCCCUCCGCCAGCCUUCCCCCGCCGCCCUAGCCGCCGGAGCUGCUCUGUUCGGCCGCGACCAGCAAGACCCACGAAGUGGGUUUCAGCAUCUUCGGGCCCGCUUUUGGGCCGUUUCCCGGCCCCGAACCCGAGCCGUGCUUUGGGAACAAUCGUUCCUCGCGUCGCCGCCGUCAGAUUGAUCCGAUUUGCGUGCGAUUUGGUGAGUAAUCUCACUAAUCCAGGAUUAGUGGCUAAUUAUGCUUUAAGCUGGUUUAGAUUUAAUUAAUUGUGUUUAGGUUGUUAGAUUAGAAUAAAUUAGCAAUUAUUAGUCAAUUGUGAUGUGAUUUAGAUAAAUUGAUGGUGUAAUUAGCAAGUAGACGUGGUCUACUAAUUAUUGGAAGUGCUUCGGGAAUUUUCCCGACCCUUAGUGGGCUCCAAUUAGGCUUAUCGGGCCUAAGUGGAUAUUUUUAGUAUUUAAAUAUUAAUUUUCGAAAUUAAAUUAAAUAAUUAUUUAUUUUCUGAAAAUUCAAGGGAGAUGGUUCGGAACCGGAAUAUUGUGCUGAUGACUGUGGUGAAGUCCGUUUAUUUAAUCGGGCUUUAUUUUGAGCUAAAUUGAAUUUUUAAUAGUAAUUAAUUAAUUUCGAAAUUAAUAAUUAAUUAUUUAUUUUUCGGAAAUUAAGAUUUUGAUGGCCGACGACCGAAAUCUCGUGCUGAUCGUCGUGGCGCAAUUCGUUUAUUUAUUUGAGCUCUACGUUGUAUGGAAUUGAAUAAAUUGUGAUAUUUUAGGGAUUUACCCUAAAUUGAUUGGAAUUGAUUGCGAUUGAAUUGUUGAUUGGUAAAUGGCCAAGUAUGUUAUUCAUUAUUUAUAAUGCUUUGUGGAGUUGAUUGAAUAAAUUGUGAUAUUUAGGGAUUUACCCUAAAUUGAUUGGAAUUGAUUGCGAUUGAAUUGUUGAUUGGUAAAUGGCCAAGUAUGUUAUUCAUUAUUUAUAAUGCUUUGUGGAGUUGAUUUAAUUAUUUGAUUGAGAAAUCGUUGGGCAUUGGUUAUCGGUGUUGAAAGUAGAUUUGGUGACCACUUGAAAGAGGACACGUGUGCCCGGUGAAUUGGAAUGUCACCUGGAGAAUGCACGUGAGUUUAGUGGUUGAAUAUGUCACCUUGGCGAAAAGGUCGCCUGAGAGAAUGCACGUGGCUCGGAGACUCGGUAUGUCGUCCUGGAGAAUGCACGUGGCUCGGUGACAGGAUUUGGCAUCUAAAAGGACACGUGGCUCGGUGAUCUGAUACGUCACUUUGGUAAGCGAGUACCUUAGAGAAUGCACGUGGGUCCAGCAUUCCGGAAUGGCAUCUAAAAGGGCACGUGGUCUCGGCGAAUUGAUGCAUCGCUUUGGUGAGAUGCACCUAAGAGAAUGCACGUGGGCCCGGGCAUCUAAAAGGGCACGUGGUCUCCGUGACUUGAUGCAUCACUUUGGCGAAAAGGUCGCCUGAGAGAAUGCACGUGGGCCCAAGGUUCGAGGCACGUGACUCAGAGACUUGGAAGGUCAUCCUGGAGAAUACACGUGGACUAGUUUUUAAAUAUCCCACAGUGGGGAUUGAUUUGUUUGGCAUGUAAUCGACUAGGUCGAUGCUUUGAUUUGAUGUUGUGAAUUGAUUGACUGAAUGGAAAUGACCGUGAGUGGUCUUGUUGGAAUAUAAUCGACUAGGUCGAUUUGAUCGAUGCUUCGAUCGGUCAUAUGAUUGCUUGGGUGCCUAUUAUGAAUGGUACUGACUUGCAGGUGGGAUCUGAGGCCAAGGUAAGUCCUCUACCCUGUGCGUGUUUAGGCAGCCUUUAGUAUAAUAGUUUACUAAUCGGGCUUAGUGGGGUAGAACUCGCUGAGACGUAGUCUCAUCCCAGUUUGGGGAAACCAUUUCAGGACCCCGCUGAAGAGCUGAGGAGGAGGAAUCCGAGAAGGAGAACUCGGAGGUGAGAUCUGAAGAAAAGGAUUUUUGGAAGAAGAAGAUAAUCCUGAGAAGGGCCUUGAGGACGGCCCAGGUGGACUGAGAUGUUAUCUUCUUUGAUAUCUCCAUUUUGAUGUGAAUAGAGAUUUGAAUAAAAAGUUGUGAAGCGCUAUGGUUUGUGUUUUGUAUAAAAGUGUGGUUAUAAAUUUCAAUAUGAAAAAUAUGGUCCUG
rnacentral:lncRNA from 1 species